GUGGGUUGGCUCAGUGGUUAGAGCUUAGGUCUCGUAACAGAAAGGUCGCGGGAUCGAAUCCUGCUAUA
rnacentral:tRNA from 1 species